CCUGAGAUGUACUUGCCAAGACCAGGAGCUGAAACCAGAAGCGUCCUGUAGGCCUGUCGGUUAGCCUCGGUGUUCUCUAGCCCGAUGGAAGCCAGUCUUUUCCCGCACGUGGCGUUCGACUCGUCCAUUGCCAUGAUUCCUUUCCCUGGUGAUGCUAUUGUUUUCUAGUGUUCCCAAAAAAGAAAAAGAAAUCUCAUUAGAUCACUGAAAUUAUGCAGAGAUUCAUACUAAUAGCAUGUUAAAAGAUUGUUUCUUCUGUGUGUUGCAGGUGUACCCACUUGAACCCCAUAUAUCUGCUGCUAACAGUGGCUAUAAUCUGAUGUACAAGUUUUGCAAACCGUAUAUUCAGGUGGAAUCUAGUCUAUUUCUUACUCAUCUGGAUGAUACAAGUGUGUGAAUCUAUUCUCUACAGCCAUAAACUAGCACAUGCAGCAAAAUAAAGCCAUAAACUAACACAUGCAGAAAAAUAAAGUUAUGAAUGUGUAAAAGAAAGCUGGCCAAGGUACGUAAAAAGUAAAGUUGCAUG
rnacentral:lncRNA from 1 species